CCUACGGGAGGCAGCAGUGGGGAAUAUUGCGCAAUGGGCGAAAGCCUGACGCAGCGACGCCGCGUGAGGGAUGAAGGUCUUCGGAUCGUAAACCUCUGUCAGCAGGGAAGAACGGUCACUGUGCUAAUCAGCAGUGAAUUGACGGUACCUGCAAAGGAAGCACCGGCUAACUCCGUGCCAGCAGCCGCGGUAAUACGGAGGGUGCGAGCGUUAUCCGGAUUUAUUGGGUUUAAAGGGUGCGCAGGCGGAAGAUCAAGUCAGCGGUAAAAUUGAGAGGCUCAACCUCUUCGAGCCGUUGAAACUGGUUUUCUUGAGUGAGUGAGAAGUAUGCGGAAUGCGUGGUGUAGCGGUGAAAUGCAUAGAUAUCACGCAGAACUCCGAUUGCGAAGGCAGCAUACCGGCGCUCAACUGACGCUCAUGCACGAAAGUGUGGGUAUCGAACAGGAUUAGAUACCCUUGUAGUC
rnacentral:rRNA from 1 species